rfam:Elstera litoralis strain Dia-1 c395, whole genome shotgun sequence.
CCUUUGAUCCGGGCCCCUCUGACGGUUGGUCGCAACCGUGAUGUCGGAUUCUACCC